rnacentral:rRNA from 1 species
UACGGGGGGGGCAAGCGUUGUUCGGAAUUACUGGGCGUAAAGGGGACGUAGGCGGCCAACUAAGUCGGACGUGAAAUCCCUCGGCUUAACCGGGGAACUGCGUCCGAUACUGGAUGGCUUGAGUUCGGGAGAGGGAUGCGGAAUUCCAGGUGUAGCGGUGAAAUGCGUAGAUAUCUGGAGGAACACCGGUGGCGAAGGCGGCAUCCUGGACCGACACUGACGCUGAGGAGCGAAAGCCAGGGGAGCAAACGGG